GGACCCAUCUUCGCUUUGAAAUAGCGAGUUUGGAAGCAAAAACGGUUUUAAAGUUAACCGUUUCACAGGAAUUGCGGGAUUCCGGGCGAAGUUUGUCACUUUUUUUCGGGGCGGGUGGUAAAUGUAAUAAAAUGGGGUUUAAUGGUAACAAUUUCGAAAUCGUUGGAGCUGCUGGCUAAGUUUUGUGGCUUCGACUCUGCGAAGAGAAACGUGGUAUUAAAAUAGUGCCUACAACUUCUUUACGUUGCUAAUUUCAUAUUUCAUAGCUUUAAAUAGACAAUACACUUUUUUUUUUGGUUUGUAUUCAAACCUUCUACUGUAUAUUGGUGAGUCUCUGGGCUUUAAACAGCAGCUUUUUUUUUAUCCUUCACGGCGUGGCCUGGAGACCUGAUCGCAGACCCACCCGUGUACCGAGUGACUGGAUCUCCGCGGCGGAUUCACAGUUUGCAGGAAGUCGUACCGACCGCUCUGCUUGGAUUGAAAUGGGAGGGAGACUCGUAACAGACUGCAAGAAACUGCACCCAGCUGUGCGAGACCCGCAACCGAGUAAAGCAAUGGACCAGGAGAGCAGCGAGAUAUCGCUAUCAGCCGGGACCCCAGCCUGCACAGGCCAGGAGGCCAGAACCGCCCCGUAUUUAUAACCUGAGUCCUGCUGAGCGCGAAAAGGACGACAAAGCAUGAAAUAAACCUUUACUACUUCUCAUCUGAAAAGAAGGGGCAAUCGGGAACCAAAAUGGAAGAAGAGAAAUAGUCCCCAUAUCUGCAGGUCUCACACAAUGAGAACCCCUGGGUACCGC